rnacentral:rRNA from 1 species
UCCAGACUCCUACGGGAGGCAGCAGUGGGGAAUAUUGCACAAUGGGGGAAACCCUGAUGCAGCGACGCCGCGUGAGUGAAGAAGUAUUUCGGUAUGUAAAGCUCUAUCAGCAGGGAAGAAAAUGACGGUACCUGACCAAGAAGCCCCGGCUAACUACGUGCCAGCAGCCGCGGUAAUACGUAGGGGGCAAGCGUUAUCCGGAUUUACUGGGUGUAAAGGGAGCGUAGACGGUGAAGCAAGUCUGAAGUGAAAGGCGGGGGCUCAACCCCCAGACUGCUUUGGAAACUGUUUGACUGGAGUGCAGGAGAGGUAAGUGGAAUUCCUAGUGUAGCGGUGAAAUGCGUAGAUAUUAGGAGGAACACCAGUGGCGAAGGCGGCUUACUGGACUGUAACUGACGUUGAGGCUCGAAAGCGUGGGGAGCAAACAGGAUUAGAUACCCUAGUAU